rnacentral:lncRNA from 1 species
CUUGCGUUCUCAAAUCCACCGUGAAUCUCUCUCACAGCCAGCCUCCGAGCGCUUGCGGUCGAUUAUUUCCUCGUUACGGACGAGUUUAUGCAACUCCGUUGGAUCUUGUGUCAUUCAGAAUCGAGGUGUUUGAAGUUUCUGCCAAGUCGUCUGGGCCGCAGAGUUUCUCCUGGAAGACGUUCCGAAAGUUACGCAACACUGACCCGUGGAAUUGUGGGAAGUGUAGUUUUGCACAGCCGAACGCGCUCUUUCCUCGAAUUGCUUCUGCCGAAACAAAGCACUUAAUUUUUAUUUUUAAAAUAAAGCCCCCAAAAUAUUUAUGGAAGAGAGGAAUCGGACAUCAGAUCCAUAUUGAUCCUACAGAGCAGAGGAUGGCCGGUCUGUAUCUGUUUCUUCUGCAGAUUUGCGGCGAUGCUUACAAACUGUAUACAAGCCUUGUAAGAGCACAGAGAUGGUGCUGUAGUAACCUCCAUAUACAAGAAGCUGUAACAGAAGAUGAAAAAUAUUGCGUAGCACUGCCAGAUAUUGCUGGUGAGGCCCAUGAGAAAGACACACCCUGCACCAAUGGCAGAGAAAACACCCGGCGAGAGCUCGCCCCACACACCCUACUGCACUCUGAUAUAACCCACAGAGAAAGCUGCCGCUGCACCUGAAAGCAACAAUCACGAAUCACAAUAAGGGAGACGUAAAAUCUGCGAACAAAGAAGAGGCAUGACGCAAGGCAACAAUUCAAUUGUGGAAAUGCAUUUAGACUGCAUUUUUAUUCUGUAUGGCACUCGUUUAUGUUGCCUUUGUUUGAAUGUUCUUGUCAAGGCAUCAAAACAGAGACAUUCUCUUCUGCUGUAAUUAAAGUGACUACUAACCAAACCCC